rnacentral:rRNA from 1 species
GGCUUAUUGAGUAUGAUUUUAAGUCUAGCCUGCCCAAUGAGGAGUUAAAUGGCCGCGGUAUACUGACCGUGCAAAGGUAGCAUAAUCAUUAGUUUUUUAAUUGAAAGCUAGAAUGAAAGGUUUGAUGAAAGAAAGACUGUCUCUGUAAAAAUUAAAUAGAAUUUUAUUUUUAAGUUAAAAAGCUUAAAUUUUAGUGGAAGACGAGAAGACCCUAUAGAGUUUAAUAUUUGAUUAAAUUAAAAAAUUUUUGGUUAAGAUUUAAUUUAAAAUUUAAUUAAAUAUUUUGCUGGGGUGGUAGAAAAAUUUGAUAAACUUUUUCUAAAGUUAAUUCACAAAUUUGUGUUUUUUUGAUCCUUAUUUUUAGAUUAAAAGAUUAAACUACCUUAGGGAUAACAGCGUAAUUUUUUUUAGAGUUCUUAUCGAAAAAAAAGUUUGCGACCUCGAUGUUGGAUUAAAAUUUAUAGUUGAUGAAGAAGUUAAUUAAUUAGGUCUGUUCGACCUUUAAAAUUUUACAUGAUCUGAGUUUAAACCGGUGUGAG